UACGUAGGUGGCAAGCGUUGUCCGGAUUUAUUGGGUUUAAAGGGUGCGUAGGCGGUUCCUUAAGUCAGUUGUGAAAUACGGCAGCUUAACUGUCGAGGUGCAAUUGAUACUGGGGAACUAGAGUACUGAUGAGGUAUGCGGAAUGGACGGUGUAGCGGUGAAAUGCUUAGAUAUCGUCCAGAACACUGAUAGCGAAGGCAGCAUACUAAGGAGUAACUGACGCUGAGGCACGAAAGUGUGGGGAUCAAACAGG
rnacentral:rRNA from 1 species